rnacentral:rRNA from 1 species
GACGGGUAUCCGGCCUGAGAGGGUGAACGGACACACUGGAACUGAGACACGGUCCAGACUCCUACGGGAGGCAGCAGUAGGGAAUAUUGCUCAAUGGGGGAAACCCUGAAGCAGCAACGCCGCGUGGAGGAUGAAGGUUUUAGGAUUGUAAACUCCUUUUGUUAGAGAAGAUUAUGACGGUAUCUAACGAAUAAGCACCGGCUAACUCCGUGCCAGCAGCCGCGGUAAUACGGAGGGUGCAAGCGUUACUCGGGAUCACUGGGCGUAAAGAGUGCGCAGGCGGGAUAGCAAGUCAGAUGUGAAAUACUAUGGCUUAACCAUAGAACUGCAUUUGAAACUGUUAUUCUA